rfam:Fukomys damarensis contig119819, whole genome shotgun sequence.
GGGGAUGUAGCUCACUGGUGCAGUGCCUGCUUGGCAAGUGCAAGGCCCUGAGUUCAAAUCCCAGUACCCCCC